rnacentral:rRNA from 1 species
ACGAACGCUGGCGGCGUGCCUAACACAUGCAAGUCGAGCGGAGAUUGCAGCAAUGUAAUCUUAGCGGCGGACUGGUGAGUAACGCGUGGGCUACCUGCCUUAGACAGGGGGAUAACACUGGGAAACUAGUGCUAAUACCGCAUAAGACUACGAAAUGGCAUCACUAUGUAGUCAAAGGAGAAAUCCGGUCUAAGAUGGGCCCGCGUCCGAUUAGCUAGUUGGUGGGGUAAAGGCCUACCAAGGCGACGAUCGGUAGCCGAACUGAGAGGUUGAUCGGCCACAUUGGGACUGAGACACGGCCCAGACUCCUACGGGAGGCAGCAGUGGGGAAUAUUGCGCAAUGGGGGAAACCCUGACGCAGCAACGCCGCGUGAAGGAUGAAGGUUUUCGGAUUGUAAACUUCUUUGAUUGGGGACGAAUAAAUGACGGUACCCAAAAGACAAGCCACGGCUAACUACGU